rnacentral:rRNA from 1 species
CCUACGGGUGGCAGCAGUGGGGAAUAUUGGACAAUGGGCGAAAGCCUGAUCCAGCCAUGCCGCGUGUGUGAAGAAGGCCUUCGGGUUGUAAAGCACUUUCAGUGGGGAAGAAAGCCUUGGGGCUAAUACCCUCGAGGAAGGACAUCACCCACAGAAGAAGCACCGGCUAACUCCGUGCCAGCAGCCGCGGUAAUACGGAGGGUGCGAGCGUUAAUCGGAAUUACUGGGCGUAAAGCGCGCGUAGGCGGUCUGAUAAGCCGGUUGUGAAAGCCCCGGGCUCAACCUGGGAACGGCAUCCGGAACUGUCAGGCUAGAGUGCAGGAGAGGAAGGGAGAAUUCCCGGUGUAGCGGUGAAAUGAGUAGAGAUCGGGAGGAAUACCAGUGGCGAAGGCGGCCUUCUAGACUGACACUGACGCUGAGGUGCGAAAGCGUGGGUAGCAAACAGGAUUAGAUACCCCUGUAGUC